rnacentral:rRNA from 1 species
AACCUGCGGAAGGAUCAUUAAUGAAUUAAAGAGAGGUUGAUGCUGGCAGUCUGACUGCAUGUGCUCACUCUCUAAUCCAGUUUCACACCUGUGCAUUUAACUACUUUGAAGGGAGGUUAAGACCUGCCUUUGAAAUUCACAAACUCUUAUUUUAAAAUAAUGGAUGUUUAUUGUCGGAAGAUGAAAUUUAAUACAACUUUUAACAACGGAUCUCUUGGCUCUCGCAUCGAUGAAGAACGCAGCGAAAUGCGAUAAGUAAUGUGAAUUGCAGAAUUCAGUGAAUCAUCGAAUCUUUGAACGCACCUUGCGCUCCCUGGUAUUCCGGGGAGCACGCCUGUUCGAGUGUCAUGUAACUCUCAAACAAGAUAGAUUUAUUUCUAUUUCUGUUUGGAUUUGGACUCUGCCGCGUCAAUGCGGCUGGUCUUAAAUAUAUUAGCUGGUCUUUAGUGAGGGUUUGGUUCUACUCGGCAUGAUAAUUAUCUGAUGUUGAGGACGGUCUUAGGGACUGGCCAGGCUCUCUCUGGAUUGCUUCUAAUCGUCUUUGGGCAAUUAUUAAAUAUUUGGCCUCGAAUCAGGUGGGAUUACCCGCUGAACUUAAGCAUA